AGAGAGAGACAUGCGCGCAUAUCAAUAAGCGGAGGAAAAGGAAACUAACAAGGAUUCCCCUAGUAACGGCGAGUGAAGCGGGAAGAGCUCAAAUUUGAAAUCUUAAAGGGUUUCCCUGUACGAAUUGUAGUUUAAAGAAGUGUUUUCUGUUGAGGUUUUGGUAGAAGUUCUUUGGAAUAGGACAUCAUAGAGGGUGAGAAUCCCGUAUUUGACCUUUACUUUCAACUUUGUGAUACACUUUCAAAGAGUCGGAUUGUUUGGGAAUGCAGUCCAAAAUGGGUGGUAAAUUUCAUCUAAAGCUAAAUAUUGGCGAGAGACCGAUAGCGAACAAGUACCGUGAGGGAAAGAUGAAAAGAACUUUGAAAAGAGAGUUAAACAGUACGUGAAAUUGUCAAAAGGGAAGCGUUUGACACCAGUGUUGUUUUUCUGAAAAUCAAUUAAAGAACUGUUUAUGCUAAGCUGUUUAGACUUUAUCAGCUAACUGUUUAGUUUUGAGCUUUUCUUUAAUGCACUUUUCAGUUAACAAGUCAACAUCAAUUUCUUUUGCUGUAAAAAAGCUUGAGGAAGGUGGCUUGAGAUUCGUCUUAAGUGUUUAUAGCCUCUUGCCUAUGCAGUCGGAGAGAUUGAGGUCUGCAGCGUAGAUCCUUCGGGGCUAAAUGCAUUUGUGCUAAGUUAUAGCAUUUUAUAGACAACUUGUUGACUAUGAUUUGUCUUGUAGCUUACUCGCUUAUGUUAUUUUACCUACGCUUAGGAUGUUGACGCAUGAGAUAUACGC
rnacentral:rRNA from 1 species